GGCUGUGAGUUGGCUUAAUCUCAGCUGGCAACUGUGAGAUGUUCAUACAGUCCCUCACAGUGGUCUCUGGGAUUAUGCUAAACAGAGCA
rnacentral:pre_miRNA from 2 species